CUACGAUGAUGGCAGUAUUUUUCGUCAACAGUAGUUCACUCAGUGAGUGUUGAUGCUUUGGGUCUGAGUGA
rnacentral:snoRNA from 1 species